rnacentral:lncRNA from 1 species
AGCUGUUUGAAGUUGAUCCGGCUCCUUCUUCCUCCCGGUCAAAGUCAAUGACGGGGCAAUCGAUGGCUCACCCUCUUUAAACGAAGCGAUCCCGUACAUCGUCAAGCAGAUGCUUAAGAUCACCACUAGCCCACCAGCAGCUAGUGAGCCAGCCGCACCAGCAUACUCUGUGUUCCUUAGUGGGCCUGCUUUCACAAAUGGGCCCACUAGAAAGAACCCAUGGGCUAGCCCGACCUCGAUACCACGUAGUAGUGGGUUGACAGCUGUGCGGUAUCCCGGAAGGUUUGAAAGGUACCAUGCAAUCAAUGGGCUUGAUGUGACGGGUGUCUCGAGGCUUCCGAUGAAUGGGUCGCCGUUGAUGGGCUGGAUCACUUGGUAAUUGGGCUGCAUAGUACAUCAAAUCAAAAUAACCUUUUAAAAUCCUUAUUGAUUUUACAUCAUAAGAUUUUAUUGUUUAAUCAAUUAAGGUGACAUUUAGAAUAUUUUACUAAUGAUCAAACAACACAAAUUCUAAUAUGAAGUUUAAAAAAAAGGAAAAUCCAUGAAUUGAAUGACAGAAGAAAACCUUAUCGGUUUUAACAGCCUUGAUGGUGAAUGAAGAUUUGCGAGAGGAAG